rnacentral:rRNA from 1 species
UACGAGGGGGGCGAGCGUUGUUCGGAAUUAUUGGGCGUAAAGGGUGCGUAGGCGGUUUGGUAAGUCUUGUGUGAAAUCUACAGGCUCAACUUGUAGUCUGCACGAGAAACUGCCGGGCUUGAGUAUGGGAGAGGUGAGUGGAAUUCCUGGUGUAGCGGUGAAAUGCGUAGAUAUCAGGAGGAACACCGGUGGCGAAGGCGGGUCUCUGGGCCGAUAUUGACGCUGAGGAGCGAAAGCGUGGGGAGCGAACAGG